rnacentral:lncRNA from 1 species
GACCCGCCCGUGACAGGCUGGGGGGUCAUGACCAGCCUGUGAUGGACUGUGGUCGCUCGCCUCCAGGUUUGGCUCCCAGGACUGCAGAGCUGGGAGUGACCGGCUGAGCCCGGGAUGCUGUGCUGGUGUGAGUCGGGCUGACUGCAACACACAAUUCCGGCAUCUACAGUGGUGUCUCCCCACAGGACAUCUUGGUCACCUCAGGAUGGUCUUCCCA